rnacentral:rRNA from 1 species
GACAGAGGGUGCAAACGUUGUUCGGAAUUACUGGGCGUAAAGCGUGUGUAGGCGGUCUGUUAAGUCGGGUGUGAAAGCCCUGGGCUCAACCCAGGAAGUGCACUCGAAACUGGCGGGCUAGAGUAUCGGAGAGGUUGGUGGAAUUCUCGGUGUAGAGGUGAAAUUCGUAGAUAUCGAGAGGAACACCGGUGGCGAAGGCGGCCAACUGGACGAAUACUGACGCUGAGACACGAAAGCGUGGGGAGCAAACAGG